GACGAACGCUGGCGGCGUGCCUAAUACAUGCAAGUCGAACGCUUUUUCUUUCACCGGAGCUUGCUCCACCGAAAGAAAAAGAGUGGCGAACGGGUGAGUAACACGUGGGUAACCUGCCCAUCAGAAGGGGAUAACACUUGGAAACAGGUGCUAAUACCGUAUAACAAGUAAAACCGCAUGGUUUUACUUUGAAAGGCGCUUUUGCGUCACUGAUGGAUGGACCCGCGGUGCAUUAGCUAGUUGGUGAGGUAACGGCUCACCAAGGCAACGAUGCAUAGCCGACCUGAGAGGGUGAUCGGCCACAUUGGGACUGAGACACGGCCCAAACUCCUACGGGAGGCAGCAGUAGGGAAUCUUCGGCAAUGGACGAAAGUCUGACCGAGCAACGCCGCGUGAGUGAAGAAGGUUUUCGGAUCGUAAAACUCUGUUGUUAGAGAAGAACAAGGAUGAGAGUAAAAUGUUCAUCCCUUGACGGUAUCUAACCAGAAAGCCACGGCUAACUACGUGCCAGCAGCCGCGGUAAUACGUAGGUGGCAAGCGUUGUCCGGAUUUAUUGGGCGUAAAGCGAGCGCAGGCGGUUUCUUAAGUCUGAUGUGAAAGCCCCCGGCUCAACCGGGGAGGGUCAUUGGAAACUGGGAAACUUGAGUGCAGAAGAGGAGAGUGGAAUUCCAUGUGUAGCGGUGAAAUGCGUAGAUAUAUGGAGGAACACCAGUGGCGAAGGCGGCUCUCUGGUCUGUAACUGACGCUGAGGCUCGAAAGCGUGGGGAGCAAACAGGAUUAGAUACCCUG
rnacentral:rRNA from 1 species